GACGAACGCUGGCGGCGUGCUUAACACAUGCAAGUCGAGCGGUAAGGCCCUUUCGGGGGUACACGAGCGGCGAACGGGUGAGUAGCACGUGGGUGACCUGCCCUUAGCUCUGGGAUAAGCCUGGGAAACUGGGUCUAAUACCGGAUAUGACUCCAUGACGCAUGUUGUGGGGUGGAAAGCCUUGUGCGGCUAGGGAUGGGCCUGCGGCCUAUCAGCUUGUUGGUGGGGUGANGGCCUACCAAGGCGACGACGGGUAGCCGGCCUGAGAGGGCGACCGGCCACACUGGGACUGAGACACGGCCCAGACUCCUACGGGAGGCAGCAGUGGGGAAUCUUGCGCAAUGGGCGAAAGCCUGACGCAGCGACGCCGCGUGGGGAUGACGGCCU
rnacentral:rRNA from 1 species